rnacentral:rRNA from 1 species
CAUCGGUGACAGGUGGUGCAUGGUUGUCGUCAGCUCGUGUCGUGAGAUGUUGGGUUAAGUCCCGCAACGAGCGCAACCCCUAUUGUUAGUUGCCAUCAUUCAGUUGGGCACUCUAGCGAGACUGCCGGUAAUAAACCGGAGGAAGGUGGGGGAUGACGUCAAAUCAUCAUGCCCCUUAUGACCUGGGCUACACACGUGCUACAAUGGUUGGUACAACGAGUUGCGAGUCGGUGACGGCGAGCUAAUCUCUUAAAGCCAAUCUCAGUUCGGAUUGUAGGCUGCAACUCGCCUACAUGAAGUCGGAAUCGCUAGUAAUCGCGGAUCAGCACGCCGCGGUGAAUACGUUCCCGGGCCUU